rnacentral:rRNA from 1 species
UCGAGAAUCUUCCGCAAUGGACGAAAGUCUGACGGAGCGACGCCGCGUGGAGGAUGAAGUGCUUCGGCAUGUAAACUCCUUUUGCCAGGGAAAAAGUUUAUUGAUUGUACCUGGAGAAUAAGAAGUUGCUAAACUCGUGCCAGCAGCAGCGGUAAUACGAGUGCUUCGAGCGUUAUCCGGAAUCAUUGGGCGUAAAGGGUGUGUAGGCGGCGAUGUUAGUCUCCCGUAAAAUCUUUCGGCUCAACCGAGAGUCCGCGGGAGAAACGGCAUUGCUUGAGGAUGGUAGGGGUCUCUGGAACUCAUGGUGUAGCGGUGAAAUGCGUUGAUAUCAUGGGGAACACCAAAAGCGAAGGCAAGAGACUAGACCACUCCUGACGCUGAAACACGAAAGCGUGGGUCGCGAAUGGG